rnacentral:tRNA from 1 species
CUGGCGCUGGCCGACGGCGCGACGGUGACCGGCCGGCUCGGCCGGGUCGACGACGGGGCGCUCGAUCUCGUCGUGCGCGCCGGGC